rnacentral:rRNA from 1 species
AUGCAUGUCUAAGUGCAAGCCGUCCCGCACGGUGAAACUGCGAAAGGCUCAUUAAAUCAGUUAUGGUUCCUUAGAUCGUACCCACGUUACAUGGAUAACUGUGGUAAUUCUAGAGCUAAUACAUGCCAACAGAGCUCCGACCAGCGGCCGGGUCGCCGACGGCGGUUCGCCCGUGGUCGCGCCCGACGUUCGGAAGGAGCGCUUUUAUUAGAUCAAAACCGGCCAAGCGCGUCGUUCGCGCUUCGCGCGCGAACGCGCGUAAGUGGCCCGCGCAAAGACUUGACGACUCUGAAUAACUUCGAGCAGAUCGCACGGUCUCCGUACCGGCGACGAAUCUUUCAAAUGUCUGCCUUAUCAACUGUCGACGGUAGGUUCUACGCCUACCGUGGUGGUAACGGGUAACGGGGAAUCAGGGUUCGAUUCCGGAGAGGGAGCCUGAGAAACGGCUACCACAUCCAAGGAAGGCAGCAGGCGCGUAAAUUAUCC